ACAGAGAGAGAGAGAGAAUAUGUGUACAUGCAUGUGUGGUGUGUGUGUGUGUGUGUGUGUGUGUGUGUGCGUGUGUACACGUACAUGGGGCUCCCCUAAGCCUACUUUUACUUUAGUUUAUUCCUCCUCAUCUCUUUUAUCCCUAUUAACAUAAAUAAUUUACCAGGCUUUUAUUUUCUGUCUCUAGCCAUCUCUGACUAGAACUGAAAUAGAGGCGGGGAGGGGCACCUUUUCUAUCUGAUUCAUGGAGACAUCACAGGUUUGGGGAGCUCAGCAAGCAGGCAACUCAACCAGAAACUCACAUUCUUCGCCGUCUUCCAGGUACCCGUUGCCACACCUCCGGCCUCCAUACAGCGUCCUAGUAUCCGGCAUGUUGGAGAGACACAUCCCCCCUCCUGACUGCAGAUACCUGUCCAGCUCCCUCCUGUUGCACGAACUGAACACUUUGGGAAAAGGGUGCCUGGCAGAGAAGGAGGAGGCAUUAGCAGAGUUGAAGCACACCAAACAGCUUGCUGUCCUGCCUGCCACUCAGGAGGCAAAGUUCACUUGAAUGAAAACCCUGCACACGCACGCCCUCUGCCUCACCAGGACAUUCAUCAGUACAUCAACUUAGAAUUCUUUCAUACUGAAUCAUGAGAUGAUGAACAGGCCGCACUGUUACAUUGUUUUCUUAUUAAAAAUGAAAAAG